rnacentral:lncRNA from 1 species
CUGACGAGGGAUUACGAACUACAUCGACGCCAAACAAGACAAAAGACAAAUGAAGUUUGGUAAACAACCAUUUAAUACCAGAAGGGACAAGGUAAUAGACAAUUUCAUUUCCAUUUCAUUGGUGAAGUACACAUUACAAAGUCUUAAAGGUCAAAAAUAAAAAGAUAAAGAAAAAGAAAAGAAAAAGAGGCUCUAAGGAAGCCCAGUUUCUUUCGAUUUCGAGCUCUCGG